AGUUCGAUUAUGGCUCAGAUUGAACGCUGGCGGGAUGCUUUACAUGCAAGUCGGAGCAGCAGCACGGACUUCGGUCUGGUGGCGAGUGGCGAACAGGUGAGUAAUGUAUCGGAACGUGCCUAGUAGCGGGGGAUAACUACGCGAAAGCGUAGCUAAUACCGCAUACGCCCUUCGGGGGAAAGCGGGGACCUUCGGGCCUCGCACUGAAGCGGCCGAUAUCGGAUUAGCUAGUUGGUGGGGUAACGGCUCACCAAGGCGACGAUCCGUAGCUGGUUUGAGAGGACGACCAGCCACACUGGGACUGAGACGGCCCAGACCGAAGUCCGUGCUGCCGUUCGACUUGCAUGUGUAAGGUACAUCCCGCUAGCGUUCAAUCUGAGCCAGAAUCAAACUCU
rnacentral:misc_RNA from 1 species